ensembl:lncRNA RNASEH2B-AS1 RNASEH2B antisense RNA 1
CUGCUGGUCAAUGCUAACAGCUGGCUCUCAGGGAAAAAAGAAAAACCAUCUGUGGCAUCUGCCAAUUUCUGUGGUGUAAAUACUCUGAGCUCUGCCAAUUUCAAGCCAUCCAUCUGACAUUGCUGAACCCAAAGUUGGCAAGGGAUGUGCACAAUUGCCUUUUGCAAGCAAGCUUCUGCAAAAGACUUGAGACAGCUCACAAUGAAGUACUCUGUAUUAGGCAGGGUAAUAUUGAUUGCAAGUGACAGAAACCCAAUCAGAAACUCACUGGAGUCAUGAGGAACACUUAUUGGCUCAGAGUAAAGGCAAAAUAGACCUUCAGAGAAAUAAAGUCUGGGAAAUUGACUAGAUCCUCACUGAAAGAACUACUAAAGGAUGUACUUAUGGAAGAAGAAAAUUACAAAGUGAAAGAACUGGGAUGCAAGAAGUAAUGACUGGCUGGAGCCUCUCCAGGCAGCGCAGAGUCAAGGCAGGAACCAGCCCUGGACAGGACACCAUCCCAUUGCAGGAUGCACUGUCAUACACCCAUACUCACCCAGACCGGGACACUUCAGACACGCCAACUCACCUAAUGCGCGGCUCUCUGGGAGGGCUGCUCCUGUGCCAUGAGGAGUAAGGGAGAUGGCUCACAGCUGGUCUCUACACAUGUUAGCUAUUUGCCUUAUUACACUCACAGAUAGGGCAGCUUAGAGUGCAGUUGCCUUGUCACUUUGUUGAUUGCUUCCUUUGAUGAACAAGAAUUGUUUAAAUUUGAUAUAAUCCCAUUCGUCUAUUUUAUCUUUUUUUGCCUGUGCUAUUGGUGUUGUAUUCAAGAAAUCAUUGCCAAGUCCAAUGUCAUGGAGAUUUUCCCCUAGGUUUUCUUCUAGGGGUUUUAUAGUUUUGGGUUUUUCAUUUGGUCUUUAAUCCAUUUUGAGCUAGCUUUUGUGUAUGGUAUAAGAGAAGGGUCCAACUUUAUUCUUUUGCAUGUGGCUAUUCAAUUUUCCCAACACUAUUUGUUGAAGAGGCUGCUCUUCUCUCAUUAAGUGGUGUUGGUAUCCUUGUUGAAGAUCACUUGACCAUAUAUGUGAGGGUUUAUUUCUGAGUUCUCACCUCUGUUCCAUUGGUCUGCAUAUCUUUCUUUAUCCCAGUAUGACACUGUUUUGAUUACUGUAGUUUUGUAAUAUAUUUUGAAAUCAGAAAGUAUGUAUCCUCCAACUUUGUUCUUUUUCCAAAUCGUUUUGGCUAUUCAGGGUACCUUGAGAUUCCAUAUGGAUUUUAGGAUAAAUUUUUCUGUUUCUAAAAAAAAUGCCAUUGGAAUUUUGAUAGAAAUUGCAUUAAAUCUGUAAUCACUUUGGGUGGUAUGGACAUAUUAACAAUAUUAAGUCUUCCAGUCCAUGAACAUGAGGUAUUUUUCAAUUUAUUCACAUCUUCUUAAUUUCUUUCAGCAAUGUUUUAUAAUUUUUAGUGUAUGCGUCUUUCACAUUUUUGUUUAGGUUUAUUCCUAAAUGUGUUAUUUAUUUUGAUGCUAGUAUAAGCAAAAUUGUUUCCUUAAUUUUCUUUUCAGAUUGUUCAUUGUUAAUAUACAGAAACCACUGUUUCUUCACAGUAUUAAAGACAUAUGUGUCACAUAAACACAGAACCAUCAGCUCAAGGUUUUUUAUAGAUUAUUGUAGUUUUUAUUUUAUAAGAUAAUGUUGCAAUGUAUAACAUUAAAAUUUAAAGUGUGCA